GCUUCAUGAUGAUGUAAAGGCAAAUGUGACCCCCACCGGCGGCCUGCUCCAGCAACCUGUUUCCUUUAUACGGGUCUGUAAUCUUGGUGGGCAAUGCAGAGCAAUGCAUGUUCGCUGUAAGGGCAGACCGACAUGACCUCCCGUUCCUUGCAGUCUCUGCCCCAUAGAGACUGUCUGCUUCUUAGCAAAGCCGGCCAUCUGGCAGACCAGGGAUUCGGGUACAGGGCAAGCCUAGGGAGCCCAGGUAACAGUUUGCUGUGCGCAGCCAGAAUUGAGGCUGGUGGGGCAUCAUGAGCACAAGUCUUUGGUAAUCUGAAAGCA